rnacentral:sRNA from 1 species
AUGAUGAGGAGCUUGCUCCUCUGAUUCAGCGGCGGACGGGUGAGUAACACGUGGGCAACCUGCCUGUAAGACUGGGAUAACUUCGGGAAACCGGAGCUAAUACCGGAUAACUCUUCGAACCUCAUGGUUCGAAGAUAAAAGAUGGUUUCGGCUAUCACUUACAGAUGGGCCCGCGGCGCAUUAGCUAGUUGGUGAGGUAACGGCUCACCAAGGCGACGAUGCUGUAGCCGACCUGAGAGGUAAUCGGCCACACUGGGACUGAGACACGGCCCAGACUCCUAUCUCUCCUCAGCAGUGAACAGUUGGCUCAUANAUCAGGCUGGCGGUUUCUAG